rnacentral:snRNA from 1 species
GUGCUCAUUUUGGCAGCCUGUAUACUAAAUUUGGAAUAAUACAGAGAUUAGCAUGGCCUCCACCCAGGAUGACACGCAAAAUUGUAAAGCAUUUCAUAUUUUC